rnacentral:lncRNA from 1 species
CUAUUCGCUCGCGUCCCGCGCGUGGGGACCCGCACAAGAUUCGCGUGAUCUGGUUUUCCGUUUCACACGGCUCUUCUAAUUUCCAUUCUUCUUCUCUCUCAUCUCUCGUCGCAUCAUGGUGCGGAGAGUAGCGGUCCCUAUUGGCUUCUCCGUUCAUCGGCAGACGAAGACGAGGACUGGCGCGACUUUCGACGAGCCGAGCUACGGGCUGUCGCGGCAGCUCCCAAGGGUGCACACGGCAUCGCCGCCCCGGUGAGGACUCCUCUUCCCUUCCGCCGCCGGUAGGCGGCUCGAGCUCCUCCGACGCGAAGCCGCCCCUAUCCCCAACCCCUUGUUCCCCUUUUCGCAGCGGCAGCAUCCGAGCAAGAGGAGACGACGGCGGAGAGAAUGGCCGGGAGACAAGGAGCGUUGGCAAAGCCCGCGCGAUCAGCGCCGCAGGACGGCGAGCAAGGCGGCCGUCGAGGUAGGCCGUGCGGCGGCGCCUUGAACUGCUGGGACAGGAGGCACUUGUUUUUUUCUUUUUUCUUUGUUCUUUUAUUGCUGUGGAAAAGUUAUAUACAUAACUUAUGUUCUUAUUUCUAAUUUUGCUUCUUUUGCAUGAGUUAUAUAUAUAUAUAACUUUUUUGUAUAGGAAGAGUUAUACAAAUAUAUAUAUAUGAUCUUUUCUUUUUCUUGAUUAGUUUUGCUUAUUACGCAUAAUUACCUAUAUAAUUUCUUCUAGAAAAAGUUAUAUACAUAUAUAUAUAUAACUUUCUUGUUUUAAAAAACUUUUGCUUCUUUUUUUCAAUGAUGAGUUUG